GUUUAACCUCUCUCAGCUUUUCACAGAGGAAAAGAAGCAAAGAAGCAGAAGACCAGGACUUUCUCCUUGUUUCUCCCUUCCUGGAGGCUACACACAUAAAAUGCCAGAUGUGGACAUGGAGGUCAAAGACACUUGUCCAAGGUCAUGCAGCUGGAAAGUAACUGAAUCUGG